GGAAUAUGAAAUAUAAAACAACACGUCAACAAGAACCAACCGCUGCGUCUCAUUGGUGUAUUUAUUUUAUUCAUGUGAUUUGAUUGGUUGAUUGAAAUGUAUCUUCUUGAAUCCUAAGCAACCUGCCUACACAUAGUUUGAAGUAGAAACACCAACAUAGAUACUGUAGUGGGUCAAAGCUGUGAGCUGGAAAACCUUGGUGGAGCAUGGGUGCAAUACCAACGUCUGUUCUCCCUUAAAACAUGGGUGCAAUACCAACGUCUGUUCUCCCUUAAAACAUGGGUGCAAUACCAACGUCUGUUCUCCCUUAAAACAUGGGUGCAAUACCAACGUCUGUUCUCCCUUAAAACAUGGGUGUAAUAAUGUGUGGACCUCAGACAUUUGCUCGUUGUUCCAUAGUUUUCUCGUCUUCUGAAACAAGUCCCAGCUACCUACCAGCUCUUAUUCAUCAAUGUAUCAGAUUAAAGAACCUUUCAUAUAAAAUACUUUCAUCAUCUUAAAAAUGGUUAAAUAUAUGUUUAAUUAACUAGGGCAAGUCAGUUAAGAACAAAUUCUUAUUUACAGUGACGACCUACCGGGGGAACAGUGAGUUAACUGCUUUGUUCAGGGGGCAGAACAACAAGAUGUUUCAGCUCUUGUCAGCUCGGGGCCACUUCGGCUAGUCCAACGCUCUAACCACUAGGCUACCUGCCAACCCCAACGUAUAAUAUAGUAUCAGCUUUCAUAUAAAACACGAUCAUCAAUAUCAACAUAUAAUAUAGUUUUAUAGUCGUUGUUCCGGAAGCUUCUUAUAGUACCAGCGUUGAUAUAUAAAUGUCUAAAUAUGGUCGUCGUACGGUUAGUCACAUGUUAGUCGUUGUUCCGGAAGCUUCUUAUAGUACCAGCGUUGAUAUAUAAAUGUCUAAAUAUGGUCGUCGUACGGUUAGUCACAUGUUAGUCGUUGUUCCGGAAGCUUUCGUAUUUAUUUACCUUUCCCGUAGCGGAAACAGGUAACUGCCAGAAUAACGGAAACACGUGGAGUUGACGAGGGAUACGGAGUAUAUUGAAAGCAGGUGCUUCCACACAGGUGUGGUUCCUGAGUCCAUUAUUAAGCUAUCAACAGCCCCAUAUCUCCUGAGGAUCAUGUGUCGGCAUGCUGGGCGGGCCAUUAUCUGCGUUACCAUGGCUACGCCCCCCAUCCACCAGAUCUCAACCCCCCCAAACGGAACACUUAUGGGAGAUUCUGGAGCGAUCCAGACACUUGCAGAAUCUAUACCAAGGAGCACCGAAGCUGUUCUGAGGGGCCUGUAACGGACCAACCAAGGAGCACCGAAGCUGUUCUGAGGGGCCUGUAACGGACCAACCAAGGAGCACCGAAGCUGUUCUGAGGGGCCUGUAACGGACCAACCAAGGAGCACCGAAGCUGUUCUGAGGGGCCUGUAACGGACCAACCAAGGAGCACCGAAGCUGUUCUGAGGGGCCUGUAACGGACCGACCAAGGAGCAUCGAAGCUGUUCUGAGGGGCCUGUAACGGACCGACCAAGGAGCACCGAAGCUGUUCUGAGGGGCCUGUAACGGACCAACCAAGGAGCACCGAAGCUGUUCUGAGGGGCCUGUAACGGACCAACCAAGGAGCACCGAAGCUGUUCUGAGGGGCCUGUAACGGCCCAACCAAGGAGCACCGAAGCUGUUCUGAGGGGCCUGUAACGGACCAACCAAGGAGCACCGAAGCUGUUCUGAGGGGCCUGUAACGGACCAACCAAGGAGCAUCGAAGCUGUUCUGGCUCCUGGUCGUCCAACGUCCUGUUAAAAACACUUGAUGUUGGUGUUUCCUUUAUUCAGUUACCUGCAUCUUCAAUACUCUAAUAUAUAAUCACAUAAUCAUAUUUAAAACACAACGCUUUUAUCCACAUUUUACAUACAGGUGGUCCCGUCUGGGUGCAUCCCAUAGGACACCCUAUUCCCUACAUAGCGCACUACUUUAGACCACUAGGUAGGGAAUAGGGGGACAUUUUGACAACUAGGUAGGGAAUAGGGGGCCAGUUUGACCACUAGGUAGGGAAUAGGGAUCCAUUUUAACCACUAGGUAGGGAAUAGGGGGCCAUUUUGACCACUAGGUAGGGAAUAGGGGGCCAGUUUGACCACUAGGUAGGGAAUAGGGGGCCAGUUUGACCGCUAGGUAGGGAAUAGGGGGCCAGUUUGACCGCUAGGUAGGGAAUAGGGGGCCAUUUUGACCACUAGGUAGGGAAUAGGGGGCCAGUUUGACCACUAGGUAGGGAAUAGGGGGCAUUUUGCAAGUAGCCUAUAUCUCUGUAAAUACAUUCCAUGUAGCUCUCAUUCAAUCAAUCUCCACCUGUCAUACAGUCACAAAUUAACUAUUUAGUCUAGCUCUAACCUGAGAGAGAGAGAGAGAGAGAGAGAGAGAGAGAGAGAGAGAGAGAGAGAGAGAGAGAGAGAGAGAGAGAGAGAGAGAGAGAGAGAGAGAGAGGAGAGAGAGAGAGAGAGACAGAGAGAGAAGGAGAGAGAGAGGGAGAGAGGAGGAGAGAGAGAGGGAGAGAGAGAGACAGAAAGAGUCAAAUAGAGAGUAGUUCUAGUAAUUAUAAGUUAAAGUGACAGAGUUCCUAAUCUGUCAGUUAGUUAGUUAGUUAUAGUAACCACAGUCGUAUAUCUAGCCAUAUAUUUAACAACAUGUUUCUCUAUAUAUGUGUCUGGUAGUAACCAUGGAGACAGGAGAAGUGUCUGGACUAAAACAGGACCUGACAGAAGCUGUACAAUAAGGAAGAAACAGACAAAACAUCAGAUAAAGGUCGAAGGUUAAAAGGCGACCUCGUUAGAUCUAGUGCUACUCAAACUUCGUGUUUUAAAUGGUCAAGAAAAGGUGAAAGUUCCUCCCGGGUGUUCCAGGAGAAAGGAAGGGACGUCACCUGCAGUGACGGGAGGCUGUCGCUGGGUGAAAGGUCAAAGGUGAUUAAAGGUGACAUGGUUAAAGGUCGACUAAUGGCAGAUAUAGUGUUCAGUGCCGGAGGUUCUGAUGAUGUCACACACAUAUCGUCUCCUAACAGACACACAGUACGGAAAAGGUCAACCGCUCACAGUUUCCACCAAUGGGUGGGUGAGGGAGGGAGAAGGUGGGGGGUCCGAUUGCAUAUCAUUCCGUACCAUGAUGUCACACUCUGACAUCAGGGGGGAGGGGCUACGGCUCCUCAGGGGGGAGGGGCUACAGCACAGCAG
ensembl:lncRNA